rnacentral:lncRNA from 1 species
CUAUCCCCAGAAUAGCCCCGAAUAUCCUGUGAUCUGGCUUCAGGAUGGGGAGUCCUUGAGCGUAGACACCCAGCAGUCUAAAGGGAAGGCCUGGGGCUUCCGGAGUUGGAGGCUGUUGUUCUGGGUGCGGCUGUUGUUGUUGCUGCUCUUGCUGGGGUUGUUCUUUGAAAGACCACAUCUGCUGCAGAGGGUUCAGGUGAGACAUCCCAGCAGGGGUUGGAGGUGGCAGGGCCCAUGUGGGAUGUGACGUCCCCUCAUGACACCUGCUGCACACAGGGCAAUGGAGGGGAUGAUAUUUCCAGAAGAGUGGGUAGAAGUCAUGGUAUUUGUGAG